UCGAUUAUUGGGUUAAGGGUGCGUAGGCGGCCCUGCUAAGCUCAGUGGUGAAAUAUCGCAGCUCAACUGUGAGGGUGCCAUUGAUACUGCAGGAAUUGGCGGGGGAGCACACAGGGGGACACAUCGUGUUUCGCUGAAAUGCGUAAUAUCGUGAGGAAUUGGCGGGGGAGCACA
rnacentral:rRNA from 1 species